GAGUUUGAUUCUGGCUCAGGACGAACGCUGGCGGCGUGCCUAAUACAUGCAAGUCGAGCGGGAGUUACUAAGGAAUAGAUUCGUCUAGGAGGUAGUAACUUUAGCGGCGGACGGGUGAGUAACGCGUGAGCAAUCCGGCCUAUACAGGGGGAUAACACAGGGAAACCUGUACUAAUACCGCAUAAUAUCCGGGAACCGCAUGGUUUUUGGAAGAAAGUGGAAACACGGUAAAGGGGGAGCUCGCGUUCUAUUAGAUAGUUGGUAGGGUAACGGCCUACCAAGUCAACGAUAGAUAGCCGACCUAAGAGGGUGAUCGGCCACACUGGAACUGAGACACGGUCCAGACUUCUACGGAAGGCAGCAGUAGGGAAUAUUGGGCAAUGGAGGAAACUCUGACCCAGCAACGCCGCGUGAAGGAAGAAGGUUUUCGGAUUGUAAACUUCUAUCCUUGGUGAAGAUAAUGACGNAGCCAGNAGAGCC
rnacentral:rRNA from 1 species